AAAACACCGGCUCUUGUACGAUCACCGAAAUUAAGCAACGUCAGGUCUGGUCAGUAACUGGAUGGGUGAUCGCUUGGGAAUACUAGGUACUGUAAG